rnacentral:tRNA from 1 species
GAGCAAUCUGGACAGAGCGUCUGGCUUCGGACCAGAAAGUCGCGGGUUCGAAUCCCGUCAGGCUCA